UUCCAGGACAGCUCUGUAUGAUCUUCUCACAUCCAGGAAAUGGAGCAAGAGGAAAGCCAAGCAGAAGGCAUUCAUUUCCAGCACCCUCAACACCUUUUCACAGGACCGGGUGUGAAAUACUCCAGCAGAAACUGGAACAUGGAACAGACCAGGACAAGGUCUCCUUUGAAGAUAAAUUCUAUAGGGGGAUCUCUGCGUGUGCAAAGCAAAUACUUCAUCUCAUCCCCAGUAAUCAUGGCUAUCAUCUGCUGCAUUUUCUUCCUUUACUUUUGUUUCCUUGCAAUGAAUAGCCCUUAAUUUCAUCUGGACUCUGGCUCAGCAAGAGUGAGCAUGUAGCCGGAUUCAGACAUGUGCUGAGACACAUCAAGAGCUGCUGGGAAAACAGGAAGAUUCUGAGAGUGUAAAUUUUUCUUGUUCUGAUAGGUCAUCAAGGAAAAUUCGAAAAUCAUUUUAAAAAUUACCAAGACUUUGAGCUAAAUUCUGUAACAUGUUUUCUGCUUAGUCUUGGAUGUCCAUAUUCUUCAAAACCACACUCCAAAAAAGGAGACCUGCUUACAUUCCUCUUGUAUAGAUUGUUACCAGAAGUAACUUAUUUUCUACUGUGUUGCCAAAGACAGCCAUGGGCUGUAAGUCUGUGCUGCAAAAUAACAACCAAAGAAGGCUCUUUAGCACAAUUCUUGUUUUUAGAUUUUGAUUUGAGCUUUGAUUACUUUUGUUCUUUGGUUUUCUUUAGUUUCAUUAGAAGUUUUUUGUUUGUUUGUUUGUUUGUUUCUUUGGUGUUGUUUGGUUUUGUAAUUGAUUUAAUAUUUUG
rnacentral:lncRNA from 1 species